rnacentral:rRNA from 1 species
UACGUAGGGUGCGAGCGUUAAUCGGAAUACUGGGCGUAAAGCGUGCGCAGGCGGUUCGUUGUGUCGGCGGUGAAAGCCCCGGGCUUAACCUGGGAAUGGCCGUUGAAACUGGCGAACUGGAGUGUGGCAGAGGGGGGGUGGAAUUCCGCGUGUAGCAGUGAAAUGCGUAGAGAUGCGGAGGAACACCGAUGGCGAAGGCAGCCCCCUGGGCUAACACUGACGCUCAGGCACGAAAGCGUGGGGGAGCAAACAGG